rnacentral:rRNA from 1 species
GAUGAACGCUGGCGGCGUGCCUAAUACAUGCAAGUCGAGCGAACAGACGAGGAGCUUGCUUCUCUGACGUUAGCGGCGGACGGGUGAGUAACACGUGGAUAACCUACCUAUAAGACUGGGAUAACUUCGGGAAACCGGAGCUAAUACCGGAUAACAUGUUGAACCGCAUGGUUCAACAGUGAAAGACGGUCUUGCUGUCACUUAUAGAUGGAUCCGCGCCGCAUUAGCUAGUUGGUAAGGUAACGGCUUACCAAGGCAACGAUGCGUAGCCGACCUGAGAGGGUGAUCAGCCACACUGGAACUGAGACACGGUCCAGACUCCUACGGGAGGCAGCAGUAGGGAAUCUUCCGCAAUGGGCGAAAGCCUGACGGAGCAACGCCGCGUGAGUGAAGAAGGUCUUCGGAUCGUAAAACUCUGUUAUUAGGGAAGAACAAAUGUGUAAGUAACUAUGCACGUCUUGACGGUACCUAAUCAGAAAGCCACGGCUAACUACGUG